GUGGGUGUGGCAUAGUGGUAGAGCGGUCGACUAUCACUCCAUAUGUCGCAGGUUCGAGUCCCGCUAUCGCCA
rnacentral:tRNA from 1 species